rnacentral:rRNA from 1 species
GUCCACGCUGUAAACGAUGAGUGCUAGGUGUCGUGGGUAUUGACCCCCCGCGGUGCCGUAGCUAACGCAUUAAGCACUCCGCCUGGGAAGUACGGUCGCAAGACUAAAACUCAAAGGAAUUGACGGGGGCCCCGCACAAGCGGUGGAGCAUGUGGUUUAAUUCGACGCAACGCGCAGAACCUUACCUGGGCUGGAAAGUGUUCGGAAGUCUUGUGAAAACGAGAUGUGCCCGCAAGGGAGCCGAGUGACAGGUGCUGCAUGGCUGUCGU